UGGAAACGCCGCGGGAAGGAGAGAGAAAACUCAUCGAAAAAUCGACGAAGUCGGGUAAGGAAGACGAGAUCCACAGAUCCGGGUAAACCCAAACCCAAAACCCGAGAGAGCCAGCCCAUUCUUUCCCUUGGCCUCUACCUUCGGCCCAGCCCAACUACAGUGGCUUAAACCUCAAACCAGCCUAGAAGCUACAAUUCAGUUGAACCAACUCGAGACCAGACCCACGGUCCAAUUGAGUCAGCCUGCAACCCAAACACUUGCGGCCCAACGAUUAGUCUUGGCCUAGUGGCCUUUCGCAGCCCGUGACUCGGACCACGACCCGAAUCGGACUGCGACACGCGCUUCGACCCGAUGCUACCGCACGAUGUGGCUCGCUCUGCUACUGCCACGUGUCACACAGCGGUGCAGGCGGUUCCUCGGCUCGGCUCGAAACAAACAGCUCGGGCUCCCUCUCGUGACGCUCCGGCGACUCCCAACGGCUGUUCGGCUCAGCUCACCUGUUUUCAGCCCAGUUUCUAUUGUUUCGACCCUCCCGAAUCUGUUUUUGGCCCCGAUUAAGGAAACAAACCCCGACAACGUAGGAAGCAACUCUCACGGAACGGGAGCUUACGUUUAGCUAUUUAGGGAGUACUUCGGCCAAGGUCAACCAAGUAAAGGCAAGGCUCCCAUGUACAGUUGACGGUGGUAUCGUGAUCAGAGAUUGUGGCGCGUGCAUAGGAUAGUUGCAUAUUUA